ensembl:lncRNA
CUCUGCUAACUUAAAGAGUUUAUAAUUUUGUGUCUGAAUUAUGUUGAUUUUUAACUUGUAUUACCAUCUGAGAAACAUUGUUUUAUAUCUAGAAUACCUUCUUUAAUGCUAAAUAAGUUAAGUUUGAUUAUGUGUCUAUAAGUAGUCUUUAACUCCAUCAGAAAUCUGAGAAGGGAUUAAAUAUUACCUGAAUAAGUAGGAACACUAAGACAUACCUUCUAACUUAAACAGUUUGUAGAGGCAGCUGACUGCUUGGAUAGCCUCCUAUAUUCCUCAUAAUUUUCGAGCAUCUGUGUUUAGCAUUCUGGCCUCAAACCACAUGACAGACCUUAAGUGAAGCAGGAAUCAUGAAGGACUAGAUUAUCCUGUUUUGGCAGAGGUAACUUCUUGAUUAUUUCACAUUAUUUGUAAAUCAUUUGUCAUUUCCUGGACAUAUUUUUUUGUCUGUAGAUGAAUUAAGGCAUUUUCCCCCCAGUGGCUAGCUUGUCACAAGUGGAGCAACUCUAUAUAGAGCUUACUUCCAUUUGUGGUGAACAGCAGUUUAGAAGAGUGAGCCAAGAGUUCCUGCACCCAAAUCCCAUGGGGAAGAGAGCUGAACACCCUGGAGUGCAGACAUCCUGAGACCGCAGGACAAACUGCCACUUCUGCACACAUUUGCCCACAUCCGGUCCAAGGGGAAACCGCACAGUGCUUCUGGACACAGGAAUAUAGGAACAGUCAGCCGGCAGUAACUGCCAUUCUGGUUUGUGCUCAGGAUUGAACUGAACUUGCCAAACAGCUCCUUGCACCUAAUUUCCACAGGGGGAUAGAGUUGGACCCUCAGAAGUGUAGACACUUCUGAGAAGUCAGUGGAGACUACCCUCUGCCUACAUUACAGACCGAAGAGGGAAUCGCCUAGUGCCUACUUAAUCUUCUUAAUCAGUUUGUAAUAGAAUCUGUUAAAAGGACCAACACUAAGCCUUAUAUUCUUGAAUGAGUUGUUGGAAUGGAUUACUAAAUUUGCCCUUAAACAAAACAUUUUAUAGUCAUAAUCUUACUUUGGUAAAAAAAAUCUUUAAAUUUUGAUACAAAAUUGAGGUUAUAUUUUCUUACAGUGGUGCAAAAUUUCUAUGUUGAUAAAAAUUUAAAGUUUCCAUUGAUAGAGAUCUUUUUAUAUUCAUAUAAAAUUUAAAAUUAAGUUUGUUACUCUUAGGCAUUCUGCCUAUACAACUCAUUCUUUUUUUUUUUCCAUGUGGAGAGGUUUAAUGAGAGAAGAAGAGGAGAGGAGAGGAAAGGCCGGCCAUGAGCACGUGGAGGGAAGGGGUGGGGGUAGAGAGAAAGGACAGGGAAGAGAGGAAGAGCAGGGAAGAGAAGAGAACAAAGAGAACAACUCAUUCUUUAAGUAGUUCAAAUGAUGGCCCCUCACACUAGAAAAACUUGACUGUCCUAGAAACUCGGACCAAAGCAGAGAUUUAUAGUGUGUAAGGAGAAUUCAGACCAGCACAUUGGGAAAAGUCUAAUAGACCCUGUCAGGAUAAAAGAGACUGUUGAGGAAUCCAUAGAUAACCUUCAAAGAAUAAAUGUUUGUAUUUUAGGCAAUCAAAAUAGUUAGAUUAGUGUAGGAUUAAGUCUCAAGUUGUUAUACAGCAACUCCACACACAUACAACAAGAUCCGCAGAGCAUGGGUGGCAUAAUAAUGUUGUGAAGUUCAUGGUCAAAGUUCAUGAAUCUUAUAUCAUUUCCAUCCUCUUUGUAACUGUGUUCUUGAGAAUUCUGGCUCUUUAACAUUAAUGCAAAAUUUCAUGUGGAAAUAGGAUUCAUAUGUUGCAAUAACAAUAUAAUGUAUAUGUAUAUAUUAUAUAUAUUAUUUAUAUAUGUAUUAGAGUGGGUUUAUCAAUCAGAACCAGCCUUAUUGAUUUGGUUACUGAAUAUCACAGAAAACACAUUUUUAUGAAGAUGUGCUCAAGAAUGUGGCAUAUAUAGUUUUCUACCCUGGCCUUUGUGUUCUGCCUAUUGGCUACUCAGUUCUAAGUUGUGAGCAAAAUAAAUAUAUAAAAUCAAAUGAAAUGCCUCAGAACAUUGCUGGUUAGCCUGUAGGGUAGAAUGAGAGGCAAAGAGUCUCACAUGGAAAGCCCAAGAAUUUAGUCAUCA